CAGGCUCUACAACUCUUGACAUAGAGGACUGACAUCACAGGGCAACUAAGCAACUAGAAUUCCAAAGAAGGACAAGCCCCUCCAAAGACAGGAAGCAUGAGGGCAGGCUCAUCAGUGUCAGAGCAGGGGAGACCAGCACAGACACCUUACAAGCAAUGAUGCCAGUCAGAAACUUAGAUUUAUACAAAGAAACGAACUUCAGAAAUCGCUGGAGCACACUGAAGCUGGAGCACACUGAAGUGGAAGAUGGGGCUGCAGACAGAGACUGGGCAGCCUCUGCUCCAGGGAGGCCCGAGAGCCAGAGAGCAGAUUCCAUAAGAAGAAUAACUCCCAUUCCUCAUGCAUGAGACCCUCUGCUAAAUGCUUCCUGUGCACCACCUCCAGAAAUCCUCCCAAGCCAGGACACCAGCAGUAUUACAGGUAAGAAAAUGGAGGCUCCCAGAGAUUUGACAACCUGCCCGCAGCAAUGACCAAAUCAGACUUGGUGCUAAGUCUGCACCUCCCCAAGGAACUGGAUGACAAAAAGAAGAGCCGAUAUAACCAGGAACCUACUCUGGCCACCCCAAGUAAGGAUCUAAAGUCCAGCCUCCUCCUCCACUGCCCUCAAGGCCUUUCCUCAUGAAAGCAGAGGUUCUGAAUGCUGAUUUCUGUUUUAAAGCCCAAUAACUCUUUAAACAUCCUCCGCAUCAAGACUCAGCUGCAGAGAUGACUUCAGUGCAAGUCACAUACACACCAUUGGGCUGGUACCCGUGGCAGCUCUGCAGGGCUUCCAUAGUGGUCAUGGAUUUGGAUGGUGAGAAGAGCUGAGACAGACGGCACAGGUUCUCAGGAUGCUUGAGGCAG
rnacentral:lncRNA from 1 species